GACUAAGGUUGGAUAAAGCACAGGGACAAAGAGCCAAACGAAUGGAAACACAUGAACUAUGAACCAAUGGCUGAGGGGUCACCAACUGGAUCAGGCCCUCUGAAUGGGUGAGACAGUUGAUUGGCUUGAUCUGUUUGGGAGGCAUCUAGGCAGUGGGACCGGGUUCUGUACUCAUUGCAUGAGUUGGCUGUUUGAAACCUGGGGCCUAUGCAGGAUUGCUUGGCUCGGCCUGGGAGAAGGGGACUGGACCUACCUGGACUGAGUCUACCAGGUUGAUCUCAGUCCGCGAGGAAAGAUGAAUUAUUCUUAAUACGGUAGGGAAGGUAAUAGCUGGUGAACUAUCACAAAAAUUUUCUGGGUCUCAGAUUUUUUAUCUGAUAGGAUCAUUUUGCUCAUAUCAUUUGUCCUUAUGAUUCUGUUGUAAAAAAAUAGUUAUCAAGCCAACUGCAUAUAUUAAGUAAUAAUUAAUUUGGUUUCUGAUUUUUAAUUAACUGGGGACUUAAGCAGCUGCCAGAUAUAACUCCUGAUCAGCAUGGGAUACAAGGCUUGUGGCCACCUUGAGAUGAUGUAUCCAGUGGGGAACAGGGAGAUUUCCAGCCUACCAUGUGAAGCUCAGAGCUGCAAUUAGGUGUUAAAAUAACACUCUGACCUUGAAAACAAAAGUAAUUUUCCUGUUCAUGAAAGUACUUCCAUGUGAGAGAAUCUAAGUUAGGGACUAUUGACAACUCCUAAGUUUUCAAGUAAAAGCCUGAGGAACUUCCAGGGGCUAGACGAAUGACCUUUUAAACACAGCUGAAGUCAGGAUACUUUCAAAUUACUUUGAUAGUAUUAGGAUCAGCCCUUCUUUAGUCGAAUGUCCAAGAUGCAUUUUUAUUAUAAGUUACAAUAUUUUCUGUACCUGCUAACGGUCGUGAAUUCAUGUGUUCAAGAGAAAUGGUUUUGUUUUCCCCUAAGGUGUGGAGAGAAUAUGUUAAGCACAGCUUAUUUGAAGUUUGAUUUCCAAUUGCUGCCACUUGGGGAAAAAAUGGAAGAAAAUAAUGAGGAAAUUGCUGCAACUCAUUUGCAUGUACCAAUGCUUGCUUUUAUUUAUUAAGAACAAAAACCACAUAGGACAUUAACUGAUGAUUUUUUUUGUCUUAUUUUAGAUAAUGCUUAAUUUAAAUCUUGGCCAGAAAUUAUUUUAGUUUUGCUACAAGAUUGUGUGUGUAUGUGUGUGUGUGAGCUCACUUCAAUACCUGGAGAAUAAAGAACAUUUAAUCCCAUUGAAGCUGAUUCCCUUAACUUCCUGCAGUUCCAUCUCUUUAUCCUAACACACUCUCAUAUUGUCUCUUUAUAUUGCACCAUGCUUUCAGGGUUAUCAGCCAGAUUCUUCACUUCAUAUUAAUCUGUAAACCACAAAUAUGCCUUGGGUAUGCACAGCUCUGGUCUUCAGCCAGGGAAGAAGACAUGUGAUCAUUAAAUCCACCUUUCCCUGCUGUUAGUUCCUGGUUAGGUUUUCAGGACAGUGUAAGGAUUUCUUCCAACAAGCCUUGUCCAUGAGCACUGCCAAAUGAGACAGCUCCUGCCUCCUGAUUCCUGCCCUCCUGAGUUCCUGCCUUGACUUCUUCCAUGACGCGCUGUGACAUAGAAGUAUACUGAGGUUUUGAUGAAGCAGAAGAGAAAAAAAUGAAGAAUUUGACACUCACAAGCCCCCUUUGAGAGAACAGUAUAAAAACAAUCAUAAAAUGAAAAAGCUGUAUGACAUGUACACAACUGUAACAUAUAUGCAGAGUGCCUAGGAUUCCCUGAGCUCCACCCACAGGCUGGAUGACCCAUAGACAUAGGAUAGAACCAAACAUGACUGGAGGAAAAAGAUAUCAACGUGAUAUUCUGCUAUACAAAUAGAUUGGUGCCUAGUCCAGUUGUCUUCAGAGAGGCUUCAUUCAGCAACUGAUGGAAACAGCUGCAGACCCACAGCCAAACAUUAGUACUUACCUUGUCAAUCUCAUUUCCUACUGUUUGUUUUCAGUAACAUUGGUCUCCCUACUUUUUCUGUAUAUGCUAAUGUAACUACUUGCCAAUCUCAAGGCUCAAAAGCACAGUUCCUGGCUCCUUAAUUUGCCGUGUUGACUAAUCCAGUCCAAGAACAUUAUAAUUCCAGUGGAGCUAAAAUUCCUGCAAAUCUCAUUUAUUAGUUAAGGAAGUACCACUUACUAUAACAAAUAGAUUCCAAAUUGUAAAUGGAUUAACAGAAUAAAAACUUAUGUUGGCUUUCAUUCAACUCAGUUGAGGAGAAUUGGAAGAAGAUGCCUUGACAUUCUAUUCCAGACAGUCUUCCAGAGUCCACAGCUAAAAAAGAACACAUACCAUCCUUAUGUGUUUCUAAGGUCUCUUGGAAGGUCAGUUGGCAUAAAUCAGGGAUGAAAACAUGUGAACAAAGAUUACAUGGUUAAAUUUAAAAUUUUUUUUUAAUUAACUGACUACAUGUGGAAGUAAUGCUCAUUACCUGCAUU